CGGAGUGGGCAGCAGCUCGAACUGGCACGGUACUUUCGCUGCCGCUUUCUUUGCUCGUAUGUGUUCAACAAUCUACCCUUGGUUAAGGGUAAAUAGGUAGCGAUCCACGGAUCUACUUGCAGAUCUGACCUUUAAGCCCAUUCAGAAUGAAUAAUGGCAGUGGCUGAAGCAUAUUAUUGGACUAUCCAAAAAAAAAACAGAAUGCCUGAAGUCUGAAACCAAGUCCCUAAUAAGUCAUGGAGGAAAUUUCCCUUCCUUACCAUCUGCAGCACACACAACAUCCAAGAAAAUGUUCAGAUUAUUCCUUUCUGUAGGUCUGCUAUCUUCUGCUAAAGUAUUUUCUCAGCCAUGAGGUGCAGCCUGGACUGGAUCUGAUUAUCAAUGACUAGGUGCAGAACAACUUCGGGUUCCAGCUGCUGCCAUCUGGGAAACGGUACCGCAGCAUAAAAGCCAGGACCAACAGGCUCUGGGACAGCUUCUUCCACCAGGCCAUCAGACUGCUUAAUUCAUGCUGACGCUACUGUAUUUCUAUAUUAUAUUGACUAUUAUAAAUUACUAUAAUUGCACAUUGCAUAUUUGAACGGAGACGUAACAUAAAGAUUUUUACUCCUCAUGUAUAUGAAGGAUGUAAGUAAUAAAGUCAAUUCAAUUCAAUUCAGUUCAAGCUUAGGAAUAAGGUUGUUUUACAGAUUUCCCGAGCAAUCAUUUGGGUUGAUUGUGCUUUGUGAGCUUUGUUUUUCAUUUCUAUCAGCAUCCAGUUUCUUUCUUGAUGCUGACACUCACAAAAUGCUGGAGGAACUCAGCAGGUCAGGCAGCGUCUAUGGCAAAGAAUAAAGAAUCGGCGUUUUGGGCCAAGACCCUUCAUCGGGAUUGGAA